rnacentral:rRNA from 1 species
ACUACGAGCCAAGCUUAAAACCUAAAGGACUUGACGGUACCCCACAUCCCCCUAGAGGAGCCUGUUCUAUAAUCGAUAAUCCACGUUUAACCUCACCAUUUUUAGUUAAUCAGCCUGUAUACCUCCGUCGUCAGCUUACCACGUGAGCGUUAAUUAGUGAGCCUAAUGUAUUUCACCAAAACGUCAGGUCAAGGUGCAGUAAAUGAAAUGGAAAGAGAUGGGCUACACUUUCUACUUUAGAAAAAACGAAAAACUACCUAUGAAAUCUGGUUAGAAGGCGGAUUUAGCAGUAAAAAGGAAUCAGCAUGUCCAUUUUAACCCGGCA